UACGGGGGGGGUAAGCGUUGUUCGGAAUUACUGGGCGUAAAGGGCUCGUAGGCGGCCAACUAAGUCAGACGUGAAAUCCCUCAGCUUAACUGGGGAACUGCGUCUGAUACUGGAUGGCUUGGAUUUGGGAGAGGGAUGCGGAAUUCCAGGUGUAGCGGUGAAAUGCGUAGAUAUCUGGAGGAACACCGGUGGCGAAGGCAGGUCUCUGGGCAUUAACUGACGCUGAGGAGCGAAAGCAUGGGGAGCGAACAGG
rnacentral:rRNA from 1 species